GUGCUUAACACAUGCAAGUCGAACGGAAAGGCCCUUCGGGGUACUCGAGUGGCGAACGGGUGAGUAACACGUGGGUGAUCUGCCCUGCACUUUGGGAUAAGCCUGGGAAACUGGGUCUAAUACCGAAUAGGACCACGGUCUGCAUGGAUUGUGGUGGAAAGCUUUUGCGGUGUGGGAUGGGCCCGCGGCCUAUCAGCUUGUUGGUGAGGUUACGGCUCACCAAGGCGACGACGGGUAGCCGGCCUGAGAGGGUGUCCGGCCACACUGGGACUGAGAUACGGCCCAGACUCCUACGGGAGGCAGCAGUGGGGAAUAUUGCACAAUGGGCGCAAGCCUGAUGCAGCGACGCCGCGUGAGGGAUGACGGCCUUCGGGUUGUAAACCUCUUUCGCCAGGGACGAAGCGCAAGUGACGGUACCUGGAGAAGAAGCACCGGCCAACUACGUGCCAGCAGCCGCGGUAAUACGUAGGGUGCGAGCGUUGUCCGGAAUUACUGGGCGUAAAGAGCUCGUAGGUGGUUUGUCGCGUUGUUCGUGAAAUC
rnacentral:rRNA from 1 species